UACGAAGGGGGCUAGCGUUGUUCGGAAUUACUGGGCGUAAAGGGCGCGUAGGCUGUGCUGUAAGUCAGGCGUGAAAGCCCCGGGCUCAACCUGGGAAUUGCGCUUGAUACUGCGGCGCUGGAAGGUGGGAGAGGAUGGCGGAAUUCCCAGUGUAGAGGUGAAAUUCGUAGAUAUUGGGAGGAACACCGGUGGCGAAGGCGGCCCCCUGGACCGGUACUGACGCUGAGGCGCGAAAGCGUGGGUAGCAAACGGG
rnacentral:rRNA from 1 species